UGAGGCCUACUCCAGUGAUGAUACGCUUC
rnacentral:piRNA from 1 species